AGUAUAAUGAAAUUGAAAACAAAUACUUCUCUUCCCCUUGAUGAAAAUAAGAAACAGGAACGUCAUGAUGUGACUGAACGAAUCUUAAACCAAGGGGUGCAAGGAGCUGUCCUGUAGUAGAUGAAGCUGAGCGACUGUCAGGCAGCCAAAAAGCAUAGAAUAUCCGGGACCUCCAGAGGGCUAAUCCGGUGUAAAAGUGGCAGACAGGAGGGGCAGUCAGGAUGCUGUGACCCUCGCCAGGAAAACCGGAUUGAAUAUACUGCAGAUGGAUGGAAUAAAAC
rnacentral:lncRNA from 1 species